GUUCUUAUCAGGUUAUAUUUUUAAUAAGAUGGUUUAUCAAGAAAUUGCAAUAACAACUAUUUGAUGAUAUUCUCUUACCAACUGUUUCAAAGGGGACAGUAAUAAUUUUUACAUUCUGGCACAAUGAGAUCUAAUAAGGAUGUGUCAUUGCAGAUAAUGGGAGUUUUCCCUCAGAAUAUUCAUCUGCCAUGCCCAAAGAAAGAACAGAUAAUGGCCCCGUCCAGGUUGUAGGUGCUACCAGUGACAAAGAUCUCUCAGCUUAGGGGUUGCAGGGUUCUCGUCGAGAAGUACUAAGAUAUGGAAGUUUGGGAGUUGCUAUAUCUUGUCUCAUAUUCAUAGUUUCAAACUGGAAGGCAAUGCAAUAUGCAUCUCCUAAAGCUAUCUGGAAUGAAUUAUUUGGAGUCAACUGGCCAUUAUUUGAACCAAAUGACGGAGACUCAUCACGAUCAGCACGAGUCCAACAAUUUGUGAACUAUAUUUCU